GAUGAAGAACGUAGUGAAAUGCGAUAAGUAAUGUGAAUUGCAGAAUUCAGUGAAUCAUCGAAUCUUUGAACGCACAUUGCGCCCCUUGGUGGUAUUCCGAGGGGCAUGCCUGUUCGAGCGUCAUUAUAACCCCUCAAGCUCAGCUUGGUGUUGGGGCCUGCUGCACUGGCAGCCCUUAAAAUCAGUGGCGGCGCCAUCUGGCUCUAAGCGUAGUAAUUCUUCUCGCUAUGGAGUCCUGGUGGAUGCUUGCCAUCAACCCCCAAUUUUUCUAUGGUUGACCUCGGAUCAGGUAGGGAUACCCGCUGAACUUAAGCAUAUCAAUAAGCGGAGGA
rnacentral:misc_RNA from 1 species